rnacentral:tRNA from 1 species
GCCCCGGUAGCUCAGCGGUAGAGCGACGGCCUCGUAAGCCGUCGGCCGCGGGUUCAAACCCCGCCCGGGGCU